rnacentral:lncRNA from 10 species
ACAGUUUCCUGAAGGUGCUGGCUUCGUGCUGAGGGUGAGCAAUGGAGGAGUCCAAGGCACCCUGUGCCUGCUCUACACAAAGCUACAUUUUGAGGACAGGGGCCUCAGGUGGCUUCUUCAUACUUUGGGAAGCUCUGCACUAUGGGCACCAUGGUAAUGAUCCACCGGAGAAGAGCUACACAGACUCAAUCAAGUCAUUUUGCCCCUCUAAGCCUGAAAAGCAGGCCAGGGCAGGCAGUCCGGCUGGAGGUGGUCUCCAAAUCAACACAGCCCGCACUCCCCAUCCAUGCUAGAGAAGAGCUGGGCGCCUUCUCUGAAUCCCGUAGCCAUUCUUCUGUCCUAACCGCCCUCUUUCGGACUGCAUGGAAUCAUGUUUGUUCUGGAAAACAGAGGAGCAGAAACAGGAGGUCUUCAUUUGGAUUAUUUGGAUUCCAAGCACAAGGUCUUCUCUCAUGUCCCCACUUGAACCUUCUCUGGGUCUCGCCGGCUUAUCAUGUCGCCUGGUGAGUGGACUGCGCCGGGCUGGGCCUGCUCCUCCUGACAGCCUUGAGGACUGUCCCGGCAUGUUGCUGCAUCCCAAAUAAACAAAAUUCCA